rnacentral:rRNA from 1 species
UACGGAGGAUGCAAGCGUUAUCCGGAAUUAUUGGGCGUAAAGAGCCCGUAGGUGGCGAUUCAAGUCUGCUGUUAAAGACCAGAGCUUAACUCGGGAAAAGCGGUGGAAACUGAAAAGCUAGAGUUCGGGAGGGGUAGAGGGAAUUCCCAGUGUAGCGGUGAAAUGCGUAGAGAUUGGGAAGAACACCAGUGGCGAAGGCGCUCUACUGGACCGAAACUGACAAUGAGGGAGGAAAGCUAGGGGAGCGAAAGGG